GAUGAACGCUGGCGGCGUGCCUAAUACAUGCAAGUCGAGCGAACGGACGAGAAGCUUGCUUCUCUGAUGUUAGCGGCGGACGGGUGAGUAACACGUGGAUAACCUACCUAUAAGACUGGGAUAACUUCGGGAAACCGGAGCUAAUACCGGAUGAUAUUUUGAACCGCAUGGUUCAAAAGUGAAAGACGGUCUUGCUGUCACUUAUAGAUGGAUCCGCGCUGCAUUAGCUAGUUGGUAAGGUAACGGCUUACCAAGGCAACGAUGCAUAGCCGACCUGAGAGGGUGAUCGGCCACACUGGAACUGAGACACGGUCCAGACUCCUACGGGAGGCAGCAGUAGGGAAUCUUCCGCAAUGGGCGAAAGCCUGACGGAGCAACGCCGCGUGAGUGAUGAAGGUCUUCGGAUCGUAAAACUCUGUUAUUAGGGAAGAACAUAUGUCUAAGUAACUGUGCACAUCUUGACGGUACCUAAUCAGAAAGCCACGGCUAACUACGUG
rnacentral:rRNA from 1 species